rnacentral:rRNA from 1 species
GAUGAACGCUGGCGGCGUGCCUAAUACAUGCAAGUCGAGCGAACAGACGAGGAGCUUGCUCCUCUGAUGUUAGCGGCGGACGUGUGAGUAACACGUGGAUAACCUACCUAUAAGACUGGGAUAACUUCGGGAAACCGGAGCUAAUACCGGAUAACAUGUUGAACCGCAUGGUUCAACAGUGACAGACGGUCUUGCUGUCACCUAUAGAUGGAUCCGCGCCGCAUUAGCUAGUUGGUCAGGUAACGGCUUACCAAGGCAACGAUCCGUAGCCGACCUGAGAGGGUGAUCAGCCACACUGGAACUGAGACACGGCCCAGACUCCUACGGGAGGCAGCAGUGGGGAAUCUUCCGCAAUGGGCGAAAGCCUGACGGAGCAACGCCGCGUGAGUGAAGAAGGUCUUCGGAUCGUAAAACUCUGUUAUUAGGGAAGAACAAAUGUGUAAGUAACUAUGCACGUCUUGACGGUACCUAAUCAGAAAGCCACGGCUAACUACGUG